GUCACGGCGUCGAGGUAGCCGGCGCAGGCCGGCAGCACCAGCCGGCGAAAGGUGCCCGCCAUGGACCCGCUGCGGUCCAGCACAAAGACCACAUGGAGAUCGCGCUGCGCGGCGGCGCUCGGGGCGGUCGACUUGACGGUGAGCAGGCCCAGAUCGCCGCCCAGGCUCACAUAGGUCGCCUCGUCGCUCGGUUGUCUUGUUGUUGUUUGUUGUUGGCCCAACAUGGUGCCUGGAGUCUUACCGAGGAUAAUGAUAUGAUGAGGAGAUGAUGAUGAUGAAAAGACAGGCGCACAAGAGUCGCGUACACGAUCAGAAAGAAGGCAACCGCGUGAUCUCUUUCUCUCUCUCUCUCUCUCUCUUUCUCUUUCUCUCUCUCUCUUUGUAAAACAAAGACACGCACACGUGUACGAGUAGGUGCGAUGGUGGCGGUACAACACCACCAAAGAGAUGCCCUGCCCUUUAUAUUUGCGACGCCAGCCAAUGGCCUUUUUUCAUUCUUGCUGACUCUCUUUUUUC
rnacentral:lncRNA from 1 species